rnacentral:sRNA from 1 species
UUUUUGCAUGUAUAAAUA